UACAGAGGGUGCGAGCGUUUGUUCGGAAUUACUGGGCGUAAAGCGCACGUAGGCGGCUUUGUAAGUUAGGGGUGAAAGCCUGGAGCUCAACUUCAGAAUUGCCCUUAAGACUGCAUCGCUUGAAUCCAGGAGAGGUGAGUGGAAUUCCGAGUGUAGAGGUGAAAUUCGUAGAUAUUCGGAAGAACACCAGUGGCGAAGGCGGCUCACUGGACUGGUAUUGACGCUGAGGUGCGAAAGCGUGGGGAGCAAACAGG
rnacentral:rRNA from 1 species